rnacentral:rRNA from 1 species
GACGAACGCUGGCGGCAUGCUUUACACAUGCAAGUCGAACGGCAGCGCGGGCUUCGGCCUGGCGGCGAGUGGCGAACGGGUGAGUAAUGCAUCGGAACGUGCCCAGUAGUGGGGGAUAGCCCGGCGAAAGCCGGAUUAAUACCGCAUACGACCUGAGGGUGAAAGCGGGGGACCGAAAGGCCUCGCGCUAUUGGAGCGGCCGAUGUCGGAUUAGCUGGUUGGUGGGGUAAAGGCUUACCAAGGCGACGAUCCGUAGCUGGUCUGAGAGGACGACCAGCCACACUGGGACUGAGACACGGCCCAGACUCCUACGGGAGGCAGCAGUGGGGAAUUUUGGACAAUGGGGGCAACCCUGAUCCAGCCAUGCCGCGUGCGGGAAGAAGGCCUUCGGGUUGUAAACCGCUUUUGUUCGGGAAGAAAUCCUCUGGGCUAAUACCCCGGGGGGAUGACGGUACCGGAAGAAUAAGCACCGGCUAACUACGUG